rnacentral:rRNA from 1 species
UUGGCCUACGGGGGGCAGCAGUGAGGAAUAUUGGUCAAUGGCCGAGAGGCUGAACCAGCCAAGUCGCGUGAGGGAAGACGGCCCUACGGGUUGUAAACCUCUUUUGUCGGGGAGCAAAGAGAGUCACGUGUGACUCAUUGAGAGUACCCGAAGAAAAAGCAUCGGCUAACUCCGUGCCAGCAGCCGCGGUAAUACGGAGGAUGCGAGCGUUAUCCGGAUUUAUUGGGUUUAAAGGGUGCGCAGGCGGAGGUGCAAGUCAGCGGUCAAAUUGCGGGGCUCACCCCCGUACUGCCGUUGAAACUGCA